AUGUGCUUCAUUGCCAACUGCUCAAUCCACAAGACAGGGUGUGUGAAUUCAACGCCCCAAUGGGACAAGGAGGUCCAAGUCUCCGGAUCCUCCAUCUCCUCCUGUUACUGCUGGAACUGGAUCCACCAGCCCCCAGGGAAGGACCUGCUCUUGUUGGGGAGUAUAUGUAGGAAUGGAGUCACCAACUAUAGCCCUUCCCUCAAGAGCCGCAUCUCCAUCACCAGAGACACGAACAAGAACCAGUUCUCCCUGCAGCUGAGCUCUGUGACCCCUCAGGACACAGCCGUGCUUCACUAUGCGAGAGGCACAGUGAGUGGAAGUCAGAAGAGGGCCAGCGAGGGCCUCCUCGCCCCAGGGGACUCAGCCCUGGCAGUUGACCUCAACUACUAA